rnacentral:rRNA from 1 species
AACGAACGCUGGCGGCAUGCCUAACACAUGCAAGUCGAACGAGACCUUCGGGUCUAGUGGCGCACGGGUGCGUAACGCGUGGGAACCUGCCCUUAGGUUCGGAAUAACUCCCCGAAAGGGGUGCUAAUACCGGUUAAUGUCUUCGGACCAAAGAUUUAUCGCCUUUGGAUGGGCCCGCGUUGGAUUAGCUAGUUGGUAGGGUAAAAGCCUACCAAGGCGACGAUCCAUAGAUGGUCUGAGAGGAUGAUCAGCCACACUGGGACUGAGACACGGCCCAGAAUACUACGGGAAGCAGCAGUGGGGAAUAUUGGAAAAUGGGCGAAAGCCUGAUCAAGCAAUGCCGCGUGAGUGAUGAAGGCAUUAGGGUAGUAAAGCUCUUUUACCCGGGAUGAUAAUGACAGUACCGGGAGAAUAAGCUCCGGCUAACUCCGUG